rnacentral:rRNA from 1 species
GUCUUCUUGUUAUAUUUAGGAAGUCUGGCCUGCCCAGUGAAAUUAAUUUAACGGCCGCGGUAUACUGACCGUGCAAAGGUAGCAUAAUCAUUAGUCUUUUAAUAGAGGGCUGGUAUGAAGGGUUUAACGAGGUGUUAACUGUCUCAUUUAAUUUGAAUAUUAGAACUUAAUUUUUUAGUUAAAAAGCUAAAAUAUUAUUGGAAGACGAGAAGACCCUAUAGAGCUUUAUAUUUUUAUUGUUAAUUUAUUAUAGUUUAUUAUUAUUUAUUAUUAAUAAAAGUAUUUUGUUGGGGUGACAAAAAUAUAUAAAUAACUUUUUUAUUUUAUUUACAUUGAUAUAUGAAUAUUAGAUCCAAUCUUAUUGAUUGUUAGAUUAAGUUACCUUAGGGAUAACAGCGUAAUCCCUCUUCAGAGUUCAUAUUUACAGAGGGGCUUGCGACCUCGAUGUUGGAUUAAGAUAAUAAUUAGGUGUAGCCGCUUAAUUAAUAGGUCUGUUCGACCUUUAAAUUCUU